rnacentral:rRNA from 1 species
GACGAACGCUGGCGGCGUGCUUAACACAUGCAAGUCGAACGGAAAGGCCCUGCUUUUGUGGGGUGCUCGAGUGGCGAACGGGUGAGUAACACGUGAGUAACCUGCCCUUGACUUUGGGAUAACUUCAGGAAACUGGGGCUAAUACCGGAUAGGAGCUCCUGCUGCAUGGUGGGGGUUGGAAAGUUUCGGCGGUUGGGGAUGGACUCGCGGCUUAUCAGCUUGUUGGUGGGGUAGUGGCCUACCAAGGCUUUGACGGGUAGCCGGCCUGAGAGGGUGACCGGCCACAUUGGGACUGAGAUACGGCCCAGACUCCUACGGGAGGCAGCAGUGGGGAAUAUUGCACUAUGGGCGGAAGCCUGAUGCAGCAACGCCGCGUGCGGGAUGACGGCCUUCGGGUUGUAAACCGCUUUCGCCUGUGACGAAGCGUGAGUGACGGUAAUGGGUAAAGAAGCACCGGCUAACUACGUG